rnacentral:rRNA from 1 species
GUGCCAGCAGCCGCGGUAAUACGUAGGGUCCGAGCGUUGUCCGGAAUUAUUGGGCGUAAAGAGCUCGUAGGCGGUCUGUUGCGUCGGUUGUGAAAACCUGGGGCUCAACUCCAGGCCUGCAAUCGAUACGGGCAGACUAGAGUUCGGUAGGGGAGACUGGAAUUCCUGGUGUAGCGGUGAAAUGCGCAGAUAUCAGGAGGAACACCGGUGGCGAAGGCGGGUCUCUGGGCCGAAACUGACGCUGAGGAGCGAAAGCGUGGGGAGCGAACAGGAUUAGAAACCCUGGUAGUCC